ensembl:lncRNA
GUCAUAAUUCUGCGGCCCGCUACAGCGCGGCGGUUUCUCUUUUCCUUACUCCAGCUGUGGUGGAGAGACGCGUCCACCGUACAGUACAGCGCCUCCAGUCUUGGGGUAAGUCGCUUAUAUUAUAGCUGCUAGUAUUUGUAAAUUAGAGAUGAUUAAGGUUAUCUUUGCCUUUUUUGUUUGUAGGGUUUGAUUGCUGCCGCACCCUCUCAGGGACCAACUGCCUGAUUUUAAGCAAAGAGUCGAGACGCCUGCCUAGCUGCUGUCUUGUCUUGCCCUGUUUCAUCUUGUGUUCCGAUCUGUUGGCCGUCCAGUUUUGUUCCUGCUGCUGGCCUCGCCUCGCCCCUGGGGGCUUUUGGUCUCAUGCUAAGCCCCUUUUUUGGACUAUCGUUUUACUCCAGCUUUCGCGGCUAGUCGGGGCGAUCUUCAGCUGUAAAUUGGGCUGGUGUUACAAAAACUGGUACCGCCUCUCCCGUUCCCUCUCCCAGAUGUGGAGAGCUGCGCGAGACUGAGUAGGGCUACGGACAAUCGGAACCAGCACCAGCUGUGGGCUGGCUCGCAGAGUACGAGUAUUUCCAAUCUGUGCUCUGUGGUGUGUAUGUGGGUGUGUUUUAUUGCAGGUCUCUGUUUUUCUUUUAAUUUCUUUUUUUAGUAUAUAGAGAGCCUUUUUAUGUCCCAUGUUUUUAUCCUUUUUAAUGUGUAUAUCUUGUGCUUUUAUUUCAGUGAACUGAGGAUCUACCAGCGGCCGUGGGACCUUAGGUGGUGGGGUCGUUUUCCACACUUUUGUUGUACAGCACCAGGUGAAUAGACUAUAGUGGGGUUUUUUUGUGUGGUUUUCUUUUGGUCCACUGCUGCUGGUAAGUCCCAGUCGUAUGUUUAUUUUUUUGUAAUUUGGGACACUAUUUUAGACAUUUAGUGUGCUGUCUUUGUUGUUUUGUUUUUAUUUUUUUAAUAAAUAAAAUGGUGUUAAUACAUUGAGCCGGCCUCAGUGUGCAUCCCUGAACCUGUGCAAACGUUGUUCUUUUUAAUUACAUUUCAUUUCUAAAGUUCAUAUUUCCCGGGGGCUAGAAUUCCCCCCAGGUGGCGUUGUCAUUUUAUUAUUUCUUUCAUAAACCCGCCGACCACUUGGUCACACAAGCAAAUGGUCAGCCCAAUAAGAGUGUCGCUAACUUCCUCACACUUUACUAGUCCCCUAUAUAAAUACAGGCCAUUUACCAUUUACCAUUUACCACAUAUGCUACAUCAGAUAAAAUACUUUUCCAGUGUGUUUGACUGUGUUUUUCUUUUCCAGUAACUUAAUUAGUAGAAGUUCCUUGAAAUAAAAUUUGGCCCAGUGGUGGUUUGAAGGGUUUCUGAAGCUUCUGCGGGCAGCGACAUUGACAGAGUGCACUGAUUGCAGUUAACAAGCUCUAAAUGUCUUAUCUGGAGUUGUGGUUUCCACACCAACAGCGCUGGAGCCAUCCACCGUGCCAACUGUGCCAUUUGAAAUUGAUUAACUAAUUUAUAUUCAAGCCUGCUGCUUCUUUAAGUCAAGACAAAGAAGAAGUCUCUU